rnacentral:rRNA from 1 species
GAGUUUGAUCAUGGCUCAGGAUGAACGCCGGCGGCGUGCCUAACACAUGCAAGUCGAGCGGGGAUUGUGGAAGUGCUUGCACAGAAGCAAUUCUAGCGGCGGACGGGUGAGUAACGCGUGAGCAAGCUGUCCUUCACAGGGGGAUAACACUUGGAAACAGGUGCUAAUACCGCAUAAGACCACGCUGCUGCAUGGCAGAGGGGUCAAAGGAGAAAUCCGGUGAAGGGUGCGCUCGCGUCCCAUUAGAUAGUUGGCGGGUAAC